UCACUGCAGCGAACCAUCUUAUCUCGUACCCAAUUGAGACAGCUUCGUAAACAACACAAAUUUGAUGUCUUCUCUUGUUAGUUUUCCAAGCUGCCAACACAGCAGAAAGGUGUAAGAUUAAGCAAACUACGUCAACAUUAUUUCUUCCCAGUAUUGCGGCAAAAACAAAUUGCUUUAG